GAUGAACGCUGGCGGCGUGCCUAAUACAUGCAAGUCGGACGAACAGAUGAGGAGCUUGCUCCUCUGACGUUAGCGGCGGACGGGUGAGUAACACGUGGAUAACCUACCUAUAAGACUGGGAUAACUUCGGGAAACCGGAGCUAAUACCGGAUAAUAUAUUGAACCGCAUGGUUCAAUAGUGAAAGACGGUUUUGCUGUCACUUAUAGAUGGAUCCGCGCCGCAUUAGCUAGUUGGUAAGGUAACGGCUUACCAAGGCAACGAUGCGUAGCCGACCUGAGAGGGUGAUCGGCCACACUGGAACUGAGACACGGUCCAGACUCCUACGGGAGGCAGCAGUAGGGAAUCUUCCGCAAUGGGCGAAAGCUUGACGGAGCAACGCCGCGUGAGUGAUGAAGGUCUUCGGAUCGUAAAACUCUGUUAUUUGGGAAGAACAAAUGUGUAAGUAACUAUGCACGUCUUGACGGUACCUAAUCAGAAAGCCACGGCUAACUACGUG
rnacentral:rRNA from 1 species